rnacentral:lncRNA from 1 species
UGGGAGGCAAAAGUAUCGAAGGUUGUGUUCUUGGCACAGCCCCCAAAGCUCCUGGAUCUCCACUUAACUCACCUUGCAUUAUCAAAAUAUUAACUAAUGAAGUUUCAGCAUUUUUUUACAGCAACCACCUCUUGAAUCUUUACACAUAUAGCUUCAUGGCUCUUGCUAGGUUCUUCAUUCAGCACUUCAUCUCCUUACAUGGUAGAUUUUGAGUAGCAUAUGUCACCAC